CUGAUGGCCGCGUACGGGUCAAUUGCGGACUGCAACACCCGGUCUCCCUGCCGGUCCCGUCCGGAAUGGACGAACCGGUCGAGGGGGAACGCGUCUCCGUCAG
rnacentral:ncRNA from 1 species